rnacentral:rRNA from 1 species
AACGAACGCUGGCGGCAGGCCUAACACAUGCAAGUCGAGCGAACCCUUCGGGGUUAGCGGCGGACGGGUGAGUAACGCGUGGGAACGUACCCUUUGCUACGGAAUAGCCUCGGGAAACUGGGAGUAAUACCGUAUGUGCCCUUCGGGGGAAAGAUUUAUCGGCAAAGGAUCGGCCCGCGUUGGAUUAGGUAGUUGGUGGGGUAAUGGCCUACCAAGCCUACGAUCUAUAGCUGGUCUGAGAGGAUGAUCAGCCACACUGGGACUGAGACACGGCCCAGACUCCUACGGGAGGCAGCAGUGGGGAAUCUUGCACAAUGGGCGAAAGCCUGAUGCAGCCAUGCCGCGUGAAUGAUGAAGGCCUUAGGGUUGUAAAAUUCUUUCGCUAGGGAUGAUAAUGACAGUACCUAGUAAAGAAGCCCCGGCUAACUUCGUG